UUGCAAGAUAGCAUAUAACUUAGAUAGUUAAAAUCAUUUACGUCUGCACUUAAAGCCCCUCCUACCGCAUUUAUCACUUGUAUUAUAAAGAAAAAAAGGAUAUCGACACAGUAAUUUUAGAAAACCAUAAAUUUAUUUGAUGAACAAGAAGGCAUAAACUUGAAAUUUAUCAAGCAUUUACUACUUCAGUUUGAUUAAUCAAUAUAAUCAUAAUUACAUGUUUAAUUAGCAACUGAAUGAAAAGCAAAUAUGCAAUAGAGCGAAGACUGGUGGUCACAUCUUUUUCUGUUGAUGUGUUUAGAAUAUAUGCAGUGGUUGAUCUUAUAGCAGUUAAAAGGUUGUGUGAAAUAUAGAGGUUGGUAACUUGGUAGUGACUAGUGAGCAACUGUCAACCAAACACACCUAAUAAAAAAACAUGAAAUUAGAUGAAUAUUAAACAUUAUUAGACAAAUGACCUCAAUGAAAAUGACUUUAGAUUAAUGUCAUCAGAUGUGAGAUUAAGAACACGUAAUGAAAAAAAUUAUAGUAAUUAUAUUUGUCUGCAAACUACAAUACCCACCUCAUGCAUGCAUCUAUCCGUACCAAGAUGUGUGUAUAUAUACAUAGAAAAAACCAGACAGUCUUGUUUGGGUGUGUAUAUAGUUUGACCCUUGAUUGGCACGUACUGAUUAAUAAUAUAUCUCUUAAAAUUAUCAACUUUGCUCAAACAAUAAAAUAAUAUUAACAUGGUAGUUAAAAUAAUAUUAGCAUUGAUGUUUUGGUAAUUAAAAUAAUAUUAGCAUCGCUGUUGUCCUGGAUGAGUAGUGUUUGUAUAUAUUUCAUUUCUUCUGUGAUAUUAUGAUUUUUAGCAUAAAAUAAUCAGAUUUGAUGAUAGAAACUUGGGUUUUGGGAGGAACUUAUCUUUGAAGAUUAAUUAAUAUCUUGUAAUGAAAAUCUACUUGUAGAGAGUAAGUUCAAUUUCGAAUAUUGAGGCAAAUUGAAUGCCAUAUGAUUAUAUGUAUGUGCUCAUGUUACGUCUAUAAUUGAAACAACAUGCAAAAAUCGAUAUCGUUUGACAAUAUAAGAAAUAAUUUAAUUUUUUAUAAAGACAUGCAAGGUCUUUUUAAUUUUUUGAUGUGAGGCAACAAUCCAAAUCCAUAUGGUUAUUGUAACAUCCCACAUCACCCAUGGGAGUGAUCCUUAAAUGUAUAUUCCCAUCCAUACCUAGCACGAGGCCUUUUGGGAGCUCACUGGCUUCGGGUUCCGUAGGAACUCCGAAGUAAAG
rnacentral:lncRNA from 1 species